rnacentral:RNase_P_RNA from 1 species
GAAGCUCGCCAGACCGCCGCUGGUGCAAUCUGGGAAACCAGGCACUGGAGGAACGUCCGGACUGCACAGGACAGCGCAGGAGGUAACACCUCUCCACCGCAAGGUGAGGAUCAGAGCAACAGAGACGAGCCGCUUGAGUGCGGGUGAAACGGGCAAUCUCUGCGCGCAGCAAUACCAAGUAGGCACACGUUGAUCUGGUUCCGGAGAGUGUGCGGGUAGGUAGCAUCGAGCCGGGUGGGCGACCCUCGGCCCAGAGUAAUGGCGGUCACGCCGUGGGCAACCGCGGUGCACAGAAUCCGGCUUAUCGGCGAACUUCACAA